rnacentral:lncRNA from 12 species
AUGCUCAGAUUGCUAGGAAAUUGGAUAGACCUCCAGAGAAAUUCUCUCCCACGCCUUCCCUGGGGACCAGCCUGUGACACAGGAAUUGGCAAGAAUCUAAUUUCACCGGAAGGUUUGCUGAAGCAUUAUCACCAGACAGCCAGAAUGAUUGAUGAGUGCUUUUCAGGAAGGGAAAUGCUUCCAGCUUGGUUUGUGGGAAGGAGUAAAUUGAACCACAUCAGUAAUGCCACCAUCCAGUUUCUGGUAUACAAGUUUGGAAGUUGGAUGAAGAGGCAGAGAACAGGGCCAUUACGUGACCCAGCCUAUGCCCCUUGUGCCAGAGAUGGAAUGAGAAUAAACAGAAUUGAGGUGGCCCCCACUCCUACGGACACAGCUCUUUCACCUAUACGGUUUUCUUCUGUAUUUCCUGAUAUAAGUCUCCCCCUGACCCCACUGGAAUGCAUGGAUUUGCAUUUGUUCUUCCAGGAGUGUCUAACUGGAUGUCCUCUGCAAAUUCAUCAAAUGUGCCAUCUUUUCCAUCAUGUGGUCAUCCCUGGGAUCAUCAUCGAACAUCGUUCUCCACCACUCUGGUCCAUGGAUGGUUGUUCUCUUUUGUCCAUUCCAUCAAAUGUCCUGAACACUGUCAGAAGAGGGAAAAGGCUAAUGGAGCUGUUAAGUCUAAGUAUGACUGCCAAGAUGAAUCCAAAAAAGCCAAAGAGCCUGAGCAUGUCAGACCUUCCUGCAGCCUGCCACACACACUUAAAACCCCAGGGAAAUGAGUGCGGCUCAGGAGGGGGGAAGAGCGCCAACCAGGGUGUUGGAAGCCUGUCAUCUUAUCUGAGCACCUGCCAUGCCCAGCACAGUGCUUCAAGACCGACUUUCCGACAGACCGCCAGCUCUCAACUUCAACUGGGCAUGAAGGUAUAA